UAAGGAAUAUUGCUCAAUGGGAGAAAUCCUGAAGCAGCAACGCCGCGUGGAGGAUGAAGGGUCUAUGACUUGUAAACUCCUGUAAAGAAGGAAAAAAUUCCCAUUUGAUGGGAGAUGAUGGUACUUCUGGAGUAAGCCCCGGCUAACUACGUGCCAGCAGCCGCGGUAAUACGUAGGGGGCAAGCGUUGUCCGGAUUUACUGGGUGUAAAGGGUGCUCAGGCGGAUUUGUAAGUCAGAGGUGAAAUCUUACAGCUUAACUGUGAAACUGCCUUAGAUACUGCAAGCCUAGAGUAUGGAAGAGAGUGAUGGAAUAUCUGGUGUAGCAGUGAAAUGCGUAGAUAUCAGAUAGAACACCAAUGGCGAAGGCAGUCACUUGGUCCAUUACUGACGCUAAAGCACGAAAGCGUGGGUAGCAAACA
rnacentral:rRNA from 1 species